rnacentral:lncRNA from 1 species
CGCUCAGCAAAUAGCAAACGUCAGGAACUCCACACAUGGCACAAAGCCACUCCACAAGUAAUCUUUAACCAAGCUUGAUGUGUUCUAAAGCCAACAGGAGAAGGGAACUGGGAUGAUCUUUGUCCAUUGGCUUCUUGGUUCUGUUCCACUGGAAUGGCUGCGUCCAUCGCAGCAUGUCAGAGGACCAGGGGUUACUCCUUAAAGAGAUAUUGGAGGUCUCCUGCCAAAGUCAUCCUGGAUCCUUAUGGAUGCUGAAGUCUGGACAGAGCCCCCUAUGAAAUCUCUUUAAUCAUCUAACAUCUUUUAGAAACUCCAGAAAGUGAUCAGUGCAAUCUCAAUUCACUUUAACAAGUACAAACUUGUCAACGCAGAGCGAGGAGAGAGGGACCUGCAUAUGUCAUGUCCUGGAGGCCAUUCAGUCAUCACAACAUCUCCUUUCUCUGCACCACCUCUGAUCUCCUCAAGGCCUGGUGGGUGCCCCCCUUGGACCUCUGUGUGCCAUGAGAUGUUAUUGCCAUUUGACAUCCUUUUCUUUGGCCACAAAGUGACAGCACCUUUGUGGGUCUUAUGACCAGUGUAUCUCCUGCUUUGCCAUAUUCAGGAAGGGUCAUACAUAUGCACCGUUAAACAGCCUGUUUCCCCUCCUUGUAUCUGUUUGGCCAAACAAGCUCAUUAAGUGUUGUAUAGCAGUUGUUG